GUCUAUGGCCAUGCUACCCUGAACAAGCCCGAUCCUGUCUGAUCUUGGAAGCUAAGCAGGGUCGAGCCUGGUUAGUACUUGGAUGGGAGACCACCUAGGAAGACCAGGUGCUGUAGGUG
rnacentral:rRNA from 1 species